rnacentral:rRNA from 1 species
CGAGGAACCUGCCUCAAAGAGGGGGGACAACAGUUGGAAACGAUGCUAAUACCGCAUAACAAUGGAUGACACAUGUCAUUUAUUUGAAAGGGGCAAUUGCUCCACUACAAGAUGGACCUGCGUUGUAUUAGCUAGUAGGUGAGGUAAUGGCUCACCUAGGCGACGAUACAUAGCCGACCUGAGAGGGUGAUCGGCCACACUGGGACUGAGACACGGCCCAG